AGAGCAGAGGAGAUGGAAUGAGGCGGAGUGGGGGUGCGGGGCUCAGCUGCUGCCACGCACAGGGCUGCUUCCCUCAGCUGGGUGCCCCAGCCUGUCUCAACUUGUGGCAAUGUCACGGCUCUGAUGUUUUCGCCCCCAGCAUUUCACAUCCGGCUUCAACUCUAACUGCCCAUCUGCUCCCUCCACCCCGUGCACCCUCUGGGCCUUUGCUUGAGCGGCUCACUCUGCCAGUAACUUCCCUGGCCAAUAUCUACCUACUGAAGCUGUACUCAUCCUUCAAGGCCAGGCCUCAGCAGCUGUAACUCCUCCAAGAAGCCCUCCCUGGUUCCCCCAGUUGGGGAUGCUUUCUGCCUUCCCUGCCUCUUUUGGUGACCAGGACUUGUGGAGAACGUAGGAGGGAAGCAGGUUCCACACUCUUCAGUCUGCUGGGGGCCUCCAAGCCUGCUUCACUGGCCUGUCACCUGCUGGACUAUGCAGCCUGUUUGUGUUCACACUUCACCGUCUAGGAAGGACUCCUGGACGUCAAUUUUCUGCAACACCUGGAACCAGACAGACAGAGAGAACUUGACUUGUUCAGGUCCUAGGUGACUGUGCAAUGUGAGUGGGUUACGAGGCCCAAAGGUUUACAGAGACAGCAGCUGAGAUCACAGGCCAAACCCCAAAGAAACUCUGGCACAGGAGGACGCUGUGGAACUAACGACUCUCUUAAAAGCUUCCUGAUCCAUCUCUGCUCACCACCUGGCAGAGACAGCUUAUCUCUCAUUGGUGGGAAUCUGAGCCUAGGGUCAGAGCAGUAAGCAAAGCCUGUUCUUCACACAUGGGGAGGAUAUAGGAACAUGCCUUCACCACGUCUGCAACCCGGGAAGGAGAGACGUUACCUCCCCUAAGCACACCCUGUACUUGCCAUGUUUCAUAGGGAACAAACCGAAACCACCUCCUGCUAUCCCCCGCCUUUGCUGACACCUGUAAAGCUGCCAACCCGCCUCUGCACAUACCUGCAU